rnacentral:rRNA from 1 species
AAAGCUUUUGGCGGUGUGGGAUGCGGCCCUGCGGCCUAUCAGCUUGUUGGUGGGGUUGAUUGGCCUACCAAGGCGACGACCGGGUAGCCGGCCUGAGAGGGUGUCCGGCCACANUGGGACUGAGAUACGGCCCAGACUCCUACGGGAGGCAGCACGUGGGGAAUAUUGCACAAUGGGCGCAAGCCUGAUGCAGCGACGCCGCGUGGGGGAUNACGNCCUUCGGGUUGUAAACCUCUUUCNNNAUCNACGAAGGUCCGGGUUUUCUCNNAUUGACGGNANGUGGAGAAGAANCNCCGGCCAACUACGUGCCAGCAGCCGCGGUAAUACGUANGGUNCGAGCNUUGUCCGGAAUUACUGGGCGUAAAGAGCUCGUAGGUGGUUUGUCGCGUUGUUCGUGAAAUCUCNCGGCUUAANNGUGNGCGUGCGGGCGAUACGGGCAGACUAGAGUACUGCAGGGGAGACUGGAAUUCCUGGUGUNGCGGUGGAAUGCGCAGAUAUCAGGAGGAACACCGGUNGCGANGGCGGGUNUCUGGGCAGUAACUGACGCUGAGGAGCGAAAGCGUGGGGAGCGAACAGGAUUAGAUACCCUGGUAGUCCACGCCGUAAACGGUGGGUACUAGGUGUGGGUUUCCUUCCUUGGGAUCCGUGCCNUAGCUAACGCAUUAAGUACCCCGCCUGGGGAGUACGGNCGCAAGGCUAAAACUCAAAGGAAUUGAC